ACCCCACCUAACCCCCUUCCCCACCACUCAUUUCACUCAUCUUAUCUCCUCUUUGGUCAGCUCACUUACUUCAUUUUUUUUCCUUUCUUUUUUCAUUUUCUCUCAACACAACACAAACAUUUCUCUCAUACUCCCUCAUCCUCUCCCACAGUACCCACUCCAAAUCAACAUCUCCACCAUCAUUUUUCCAACAAGAUCACCGGAAAAUUGUUGAGAACCCAUAAGCACCUUCACAUCCUUUUUUUGAGCUUCUAGCUAAUCUCCUUGGAGCUUAGAGAAUUAGGCUUUUGCGGUUGCGAGUCUUUGUGAUAACGGAAUCAAAUCCAGGUCAGUGUCCUUUCACUUUGGAUGACGCGUUCUUCCCUGCUGCCCAUGGGGGGAAGAGGUUCCUUGAUUGUGUGUGGGUGAGGCUGCUGCCUAUGGGACCAAGAGACCACAUGCAAGAGAGGUCCUAUUUGAUGCGCUCUCUCUGCUGCCCAUAGUGGGAAAGAAAACCUUGAGGGUAUGGGUGAGGCUGCUAUCCAUGGGGUCAAGAUUCUGCAUACUAGAAAGGGCAAUAUCAUGUUAGUUGUGAAUGGGUGGAUCUCCUAACUAAUCUAUAUGAUAGUGUGGUAUAUUUGUGAUAAUUUAUCUUAUGUCAGAUAUUAUGGCUUUAGAAAUUAUAUUGUUGAUGCUCACAGAUUAUAGUAUAUAGUUUCAAGGUAUUUACUUUGGGAAACUUUGUGUUUCAUUAUUAAAUCAUUCUUAUCAUAUUAUUAUUAUUGAA